rnacentral:lncRNA from 1 species
GAACAGAAACCUGUAUCAUCAGGAAAGAGGUGCGAGACAGUUGAAGAUAAAACCGACAGCAAACCUCACCAACAUUCAAGCCUCCUGCAGAUUGGACCUGGCAGGUCAGGAAGGGCGCCCUUCUCUCCAUCUUUUGUGGAUCUCUCAGUCCGUCCUUUCCCAUCCUCCCUCAGGUGGUUGGGCUCCUUCCCCUGUGCCCAGCAGCCAUUCUCUCAGCUACUCUUGCUCCUUCCUCCCACAAGUUUUUAUUAGUGCUUAUUUGUGUUCAUGUUUGUGCCUCGACCACGCUUCCAUGUGCUGAGAGGCAGACUGCGAGCAGGAAGUUACAGCCCUCACGAAGCCUGCUUUCUGAGGGGAGGGACAGGCCGGCAGCGGUGCGUGAGAGGCCGUGCUGUGGACACCGCAGAGCCGGCGAUGAGCGCGGGGGGCAACGCCAGGGCUGGGUGCUGUCACGCACAUGCGCACAUGCCGCGGAGCGUCUCUGGGCAGAGAGCGGAGGGAAGUGAGGGGUGAGCUCAGCCAGGUCUGCGGGAGGAGUGUCCUAGGAAGAGGGCAGCACAAGUGUGGUGGCGGCGGCUGGUGCAGAUGAGCAAGGGGCCCAUGGCCCGAGAAGAGGCCGGACGGGCAGCAGACGGAGGCGUUGCCACAGGUUUUGUAAGCUGUUGUAAGGUCUUCGAGACUUCCAGUCCAAGGAAGAGGGAAUGGCACGGGGGGGAGGCUGGACAGGGGAUACCCUGAGCUUUCAUUUCUAGGGGUCCCCCUAGCCACUGUUGGGUGGAAGCAGGGAGACCGCUGAGGACGCUCCUGCACAAGCCCAGGUGAGAGGUGGGCCAGGCUGGCGGUGGCGAAGGUCACAAGUGGACAGGCUGAGAGUGUACUUUGAAGUUGGGUCAGCUGUGGGUGUGAGAGCAGGGAACAUUCCGUCGAGGACGACUCAGCCUGUGGCCAGGGCAAAUGUAAGGAGUUCCCGUUUCCGAGGAAGAGAAGCAAGGCUGCUUCUUCGGCGGGCAGGGAGUGCAGGGAGUGCAGGCAGAGGAGGUGCACCUGUCACACGGUCAGGGCGCCUUUGCGUGCUCGGGUGGGGGCGUCCGGAGGCAGCCGGAGCUCGCGAAGAGCCUUCGGCCUGAGUUGCGACGACGAUGAGGCGGCACUCAGCGCCAGCCGUCCAGCGAGGGGGCAGAGAAGAGACGGGGUCCGGGGCGGUUGGGGGCAACAGGCAGCACGCGCGCCCUGGGCGGAGUGGCCGAGAGGCUGGAGGGAAACCACGAGACAAUGGGUGAGAGCAUGUCUGAAGCCAGAGCGGGUGCUGGCAGGAGCCGCGGAGAGCUCGGGAACGGCUAGGCUCCCGCUCACGACCGGUGUCUCCGUGCCCCCCCCCCCCCCCCGGGUGACGUGCCCCGCUCAGCUCCGCUGCGCACAGGGAGGGCCGGGGUGCGACGUGGCCAUCCAGCUCCGCCCUUCGGCACCGGCGCCUGCCCGUGUCUCCGGGAGCGGGGGCUUAGCGCGGGGACGCGGGGACGAGGGCGCUGCUCGCGGCGGCGCUGGCUCCCGGCUCUUUCCAGGCAGAGGCGAACGGCGGGCUUCGUGGAAAACCCGGAGCCCUCAGCUGCAGAGCAGAAUGGCUACUCGAUUUCUCUCCAUCAAGUCGCACCAUGUGUCUGUGACUUGGGCAGGAGGCCGCCUGCCUGACGCUGUGGGACACAAGCCCUCCCAGAGCCUGGCAGCGCUGCCCCCUACCCCCUCUCCGGCAGGGCCUCUGCGGAAGUGUGCGGCCUGCCCGUGGAGCCAGGGCCCAGGCUUCUGCUGUCUGCCCGGCCGUCUUUCCUCCACGGGACUCGGAGGCUGUGGCCGAUUUCAGGUCCCUCUCCCCUCUCUCCCCACUGUCCCCAGCAGGUAGGCCCCUCUACACAUGCCACCUCGGGAACGUCUCUCCAGCCCCGCUGCCUGCCUUCUCAGAUCUGAACAACCACAAUAGCCCCGGCUGCCCCCCCGCCCCCCCGCCUUCCCAGUCCCCCUGCGCAUCUUCACCAGGGAGGGCUUUCUAAACACAUGUCCCGUCCUGGCUUAACUGCCUUUCCUCGCCCUCCUCCCCUUCCCCUUUGCCCAGCUAGCUCCUUCUUGUCCUAAGACUUAGCCUCCAUGUCAUGUAUUCAGGUGUUAACCUGAAAAUAAAGAGCCACAACAAGAGGCAAACGAGUGUGUAUUUGGGACCCAGGAAUUGCAGUGUGGGGGGCACAGACUCUGGCUGUAACCAGAGAAGUGUCCUGCCUUCGGGUGACAGCAAGGGGCUCCACCAGAGAGAGGAAGGGAGGGAUUCCGUGACUCGGUGCUGCCAGACCGCACCGCUGUGGGGUGUGCACUGGUUGACUAUUGGGUUAACAAAUGGAACUAUUCCUGGUAUGCUUUAGUGACCUGCUCUGUCUUCCCGAAGCCCACAGCCAAGAGUUUUAUGGCCGGGAGGCCUGCUGUCCUGUUGACUUUGUGGACGAUUGCUUCAAACAACAGGUGCGUUGCCCGGGUCAAACACGGGCAGGUGAGGCGGAUUCUCCCGACUCUGUUUUCAAAUGACUCCAGUCACGUCAGUCUUUCACGCUGGGAGGUCUUCUCUGAUGCCCCGGGGCUGGGCUAGGGUCUCCUCCCAUUUUUCUGCCGGCCCCUAGCUGUCCCCACCUGGUCACGGUUCUGAUUACGCUGCACAGCUGACCUUGCAGGUAUGCGUAAUGGCUUCUUUGACUUGGGGUCCAAAGUAGUCUCGGAACAGGUAUUGGCACAGCAAGUACCAAUAAAUGUACUGACUGACUGAAUAAUGGGACCCUCUGUGGUUUUGGGUGACUGCCCUGUUCAUGGUAGGCUCCAUCCCACAGUGGGAGGUUUGGGGGAAAUGUGCACCCGGUCAGGCUUGCCCUGGCACCUCGCCUACUAAAGGCCCUGCAGUGAAAUGACCUCCAGCUGCCUCCCACUGGUGAGGCCUCUAGUGAUGGGGUCACAGCAGGGACGCCCAACCCCACCUGCCAAACUCAGCUGCCCCUAGGAAAUGUGGAUGUUGAGAGAGGUCACCAGAAACAGGUGGACUGUAGGUGACAGGUGGGCCUGUGUCACUAGAGUGGGCAUGCGUGCAAGAGUACAUGUGUGAACAGGCAUGCCCUCAUCUCGUCUGUGGUGACAUGGCUAAGCGCACCAAGAAGGGCAGGACUGCUGCUAAAUGUGGGAUCUGUUGUGGUGCCUCCCUCAGGAAAAUGGUGAGGAAAGCUGAAAUAAGCCAGCAUGCCAAGUACACCUGCUCCUCCUGCGGCAAAACCAAGAUAAAGAGAUGAGCUGUGGGGAUCUGGCACGGGGUUCGUGCAUGAAAACCUAAAACAGGUGGUGCCUGGACCCACAGAACCAUUCCUGCCAUCACAGUAAAGUCUGCCAUCUGAAGACUGAGGAGUUGAAAGACCAGUAGAAGCUCCACCAUUUGAAACAUCGCUAGCCUAUAAUAAAGGGGUUAACUUAUAUAACAAAAUAAAAAACCCCAGAUUUAUUAUCUUACGGUUCUGAAGGUCUGAAGUCCAAAUGGGUCUCACUGGGCAAACCUCCAGGUGUUCGCAUGGCUGCAUUCCUUCUGGAGGCUUUAAGGGAGGAUGUUUUCUUGCCUUUUCCAGCUUCCAGAGGCUGCCCACAUUCCUUGGCCCCUUCCAUCUUCAAAGCCUGCAGUGACUGGCCAAGUCUCUUGCGUUGUGUCUCUCUGCCACUCACUUCCGCCUCCUUCCUCCACUUAACAAGGACGCUUGUGAUGACGCUGGGCGUGUCAGGAAGAUCUCUUGAGGUCAGCUGAUUCCUGCAGCCUUAUUUUCAUCUGCAACCUUAAUUCUCCUUUGCCACAUCAGGUAGCUUGUUCACAAAUUCUGGGGAUGUGGCCGUGGAUGUGUUCGGGGGUGGUGGGCAUUAUUCUGCACACCACAGAUGGUCUGUCUCUUUCUGACUCUUUGGGCAUGUCUGUCUCUUACUCAUCCAGAGACUCCUUGGGACCCAGCCUGUGCUAGGUGUUUAUUACAUAUUUGAAUAAAUCUGAUUCAAAUGAUAUACUGAGAAUUCAUUUGUGCUGGGUACUUUCAUACAUAUCAUCACAACUUCUAUUCCCAUUUUAUAGGUGAGGAAAAU